rnacentral:rRNA from 1 species
CAUAGCGACUAUCGUGGCAUAUCAAUAAGCGGAGGAAAAGAAACUAACAAGGAUUCCCCUAGUAACGGCGAGUGAAGCGGGAAGAGCUCAAAUUUGAAAUCUUCAAGGUUUGACCUUGACGAAUUGUAGUUUAAAGAAGUGUUUUCGGUUAGAGGAGUAGUAAAAGUUCUUUGGAAUAGGACAUCAUAGAGGGUGAGAAUCCCGUAUUUGACUAUUCUUUCUAGCUUUGUGAUACACUUUCAAAGAGUCGGAUUGUUUGGGAAUGCAGUCCAAAAUGGGUGGUAAAUUUCAUCUAAAGCUAAAUAUUGGCGAGAGACCGAUAGCGAACAAGUACCGUGAGGGAAAGAUGAAAAGAACUUUGAAAAGAGAGUUAAACAGUACGUGAAAUUGUCAAAAGGGAAGCGUUUGACACCAGUGUUGUUUUUCCGAAAAUCAAUUAAAAAUUGAUUCAUGCCAGGUUGUAUUGACCUUAUCAGCUUGCAAUUUGGUUUUGGGUCUCUUUUUGAUGCACUUUUCGGUUAACAAGUCAACAUCAAUUUCCUUUGCUGUAAAAAGGUAAGAGGAAGGUGGCUUCAAUUUCGGUUGAAGUGUUUAUAGCCUUUUAUCUCUGCAGUCGGGGAGAUUGAGGUCUGCAGCGUAGAUCCUUCGGGGCUAGAUACAUUUAUGCUAAGUUAUAGCUUUUCAUAGACAACUUGUUGACUAUGUUUAGUCAUGUAGCUUACUCGUAAGUGCUAUUUUACCUACGCUUAGGAUGUUGAUAGUCACAGCGUGUAC